rnacentral:rRNA from 1 species
AAGAUAAAUCUGUUAAAGAUUAGGUAGUUGGUAAAUUUAACAGCUUACCAAGCCUUUGAUCUUUAGUUGGUCUUUACGGGCGACCAACCACACUGGAACUGAAACAAGGUCCAGGCUUAAAUUAUUAAGCCAGCAGUGGGGAAUAUUGGACAAUGAACGAAAGUUUGAUCCAGCAAUACUAUCUGAAUGAUUGACGGCUUUUUGUUGUAAAAUUCAAUAAAAAAAUAAAAAUAUGAUAGUUUUUUAAAAGUCCUGUCUAAUACUCGUGCCAGCAGUCGCGGUAAUACGGGAAGGGCAAGCGUUAUUUAUCGUGAUUUGGCGUAAAGAGUUUGUAGACGGUAACACAAGUUUUUAGUUAAAUUUUUAAGCCUAACUUAAAAAUAGCUUAAAAUACUGUUUUACUAGAGUUUUGUACAGAAAAGUAUAAUUUUGUGUGAAAAGGUAAAAUUUGUAGAUACACAAAAGAAUACCUAUCAGUGAAAACAGCUUUUUUAGUAAAAACUGACGUUGAGAAACGAAAGUAUAGGUAGCAAACAGGAUUUGAUACCCUGGUAGUCUAUACUGUAAAUUCUGAAUGCUAAAAUUUAAAAACUAUUAAAUUUUAAAGCUAGCGCGAUAAGCAUUCCGCCUGAGGAGUAUAAUUGCAAGAUUGGAACUCAAAGGAACUGACGGGAGCUUAUACUAGUGGUGGAGCGUAUGGUUUAAAACGAUAAUCCACGUAAAACCUUACCAAUUUUUGAAUAUAAAUUAGUUUUUAUUACAGGUGCUGCACGGCUGUCGUAAGUCCGUGUUUUAAAAUGUUUGGUUAAUUCCUUAAACGGACGAAACUCUUGUUUUUUAAUUAUAAUUAAAUACUAUGUUCUUUUAGAAUAAUUUUAUUUAAUUUUUAAAAAUACUAUUAAUUAUAAAUUUAAGGAAGGUAAGAAUAAAGACAAGUCAUUGUGACCCUUAUAAAUUGGGCUACACAUGCGCUACAAUGAAAAUUACAAAAAGUUACAAAGUUUAUCAUUUCGUUAAUCUUAAAAAUUUUCCCAGUUCAGAUUAUAAACUGAAACUCGUUUAUAUUAAGUUGGAAUCACUAGUAAUCGCGAAUCAGCAUGUCGCGGUGAAAAGUUAUUGGCUUUGUACAUACCGCCCGUCACAUGCAAAAAAUUAAUUUUACUUGAAGUUUUAUCUUUUUUAGUUAAUGCCAUUGAAAAGUUAGUAAUUUGGAUGAAGUCGUAACAAGGUAGCUUUACGGGAACGUGUAGCUGGA